rnacentral:rRNA from 1 species
GACGAACGCUGGCGGCGUGCCUAAUACAUGCAAGUCGAGCGAAGUUUUUCUGGUGCUUGCACUAGAAAAACUUAGCGGCGAACGGGUGAGUAACACGUAAAAACCCUCCUCCUUAAAUGGGAACAACAUUGGAAACGAUAACUUAAACCCGAUUAACAUAAUUCCUGGCUGUGGGAAAAUUUAAAAGUUGUUAUUCCUACACUAAUAGAAUGCUUUUGCGGUCCAUUAGCUAGUUGGUGGGGUAAAGGCCCACCAAGCCGACGAUGCAUAGCCGACCUGAGAGGGUGAUCGGCCACACUGGGACUGAGACACGGCCCAGACGCCUACGGGAGGCAGCAGUAGGGAAUCUUCCGCAAUGGGCGAAAGCCUGACGGAGCAACGCAGCGUGAGUGAAGAAGGAUUUCGGUUCGUAAAGCUCUGUUGUUAGGGAAGAAUGGAUAUGUAGUAACUAUACAUGUAAGAGACGGUACCUAACCAGAAAGCCACGGCUAACUACGG